ACAAAAAGAAUCUUCUGAAUUAUAGUAGAGAUUGACAUCUUAAUUAAUGUGACCCCAAUAUCAGAAUGAAGAUAACAAUAUAUCUAACUGUGCUGGUAGCAGUGGUUGCUAUUGUGUUGCUGUACACGGAUAACAGUCUGAGUGAAGCAUCUAGAAGAAGGAGCACAUCAUAUUCGAGCAGAAGGAGGUCGAUUAGUUACGAUACUCGAAGAUCUUCCAGUACUUCCUCGACAGGAUCUAGCGAGGGAAGCGCGGGAAGUUUCUUUGGUUUUGUAGCAUUAUUCUUCUCCAUGAUUAUUGGCCUGUCAUGUUGGAUUUACCGCAAAUCAUGCAGAUCCACACAAUCAGGACAGGUGAUACUGGGAGUACCCUCCCAGCACAGUACCCUCCUACCUCCUACACUGCUGCUAAUCCUACAGUAUUAGGCUCUCAGUACCCUCCUACCUCCUACACUGCUGCUAAUCCUACAGUAUUAGGCUCUCAGUACCCUCCUACCUCCUACACUGCUGCUAAUCCUACAGCAGUGGGCUCUCAGUACCCUCCUACCUCCUACACUGCUGCUAAUCCUACAGUAGUGGGCUCUCAAUACCCUCCUCCCUACCAACCAUCUGGUUAUACAGCUUACCCUCCUCCUCCUCCUUCUAACGAGACAGUACCGGGGACAGUGCAAUAUCCAUCUGAUGCUGCAACAAGUGAUCAAGCGCCGCCCUACGCAGCUGCAGCUAUUAU